AUAGUUGCUUAUUAUCUCAGCCAAGUUCAGGUGUAAUAUCUGUUUUGGUUUUUUUUCAGUUUAAUAUCGGAUACGCUCCCUAUUUAGGGACCAUAUAUUACAUGAAUUUUUAGUAAGAUAGAAGAGGAGCUUGCUCUGUCCACUUUAUAUAUUAACCUGGUAUUGCAGUGCGUCCAGGACCAGUACACAAAUA